ACUUUGGUGUUACCUGGUCGCUGAUAUGGGCUGGUAAAGUCGUGCGGUGUUGGCUGUGUACAUACAGUCACAAACAAAAUUGUUUUUCCCAGGUGAAAAUGUAUUUUUAACCUCCCAACACAUUUUAAAAAGAUGUUUCAGUGUGGGAAAAAGAAAAAAUUCUACAGCCUUACCCUAGACAGCCUUUUUGUCCUUGUUACUACUGAAAUCCAGAUGAGAUUCUAAACUGCCAACCAGGAAGUUGAAUUGUCAGCAGUGAUUCAGAGGAACAUACUUCACACAUUUGGAGUGUUGCAUGAGAACACAUGAAGAUAAAAUGGAAGAAUAGCACCCGGAGAUUGGAUUGUUCACCAUAUUUGAGCAGUUAAUCUGCUUAGUAUGUCUUUGAUAGAUUGCUUUAUAGAUUGAUGUGUGAAAUGUGACUUCACAUGUUCCUGUUCAUCUGUAACUCUCUGAAACCCACUACAUGAGCCAGAUUUUCUGCAGUUGACUGCUGAGACAGAUUUCCAUUUUUGCGGGGUCGGUUAAUGCUGUCUUGAUCAGGAUGAACUGCCCGACUAUAGGCUCCUUGGCUUUCAUGACGGGUCUCCUUGAGAAAGCUUCAAAGUCACUGCUGGAGUAUUUUGAUGUAUACUGAAACUAUAAAGAAGAGCAGAUGAACAGAUGCCUCAUAUUGAACCCACCUAUCUUCCAGAGAUGAACACAUUGAUAAUGUGACCAGGGGACAUGACAUCCUGAUGUGAUGAAUUAAAGACGCAAGAGGAGGAGAGCCGAGAUAUUAUUGGUUUUGGAGAUUGAUGUAAUGUGAGCUUGUGGGUCAUAUACACCAUAAAUCCCGGUAAAAAUGAAAGAGAAAAUUAUAGAUUAGACAUGAAAUGAUUUCAGGGUGAUUUUUCUUCCUUUGACAAAUUAAAUUCCUUGAAUUUCAUUGAGCUCAUUCAUUGGAACAUUGCAUGAUGAAAAAUAAUUUUGAGCAUUUGAAUUUUGUCCGACUUGAUAAAUGGAUGGCAUUUAAUUUUCGUAAAGAAACAACUAAAAUUUCACAGGUGGAUGAUCAGUAGCAUUUUUUUUUUUUAGGUAGGGCAAUUACAUGUCAAAAUUUUCAAUAUGUGGUUUCAUUUUAAUAAUUUCUGCUUGGCAGAUAAUGUGUAUCAGUAUCAACACAUAUGGCGGAGGAAAAGUUGAUAUUGAUUUCUUUUCUCCUGAGUGGAAAUGCAGAUGACUUUAACUUUGUCCCAGCACCUUAUGAGUGCACCUCCUUAAGGAUGAACAAACAUUACAUAACAGGAUUUUCUAGAAAGUCCCAGUCAGGUUUGCUGCUGUACAAGUUUGUAACUUUUCAAUUUCUGAAGACAAAAAUAUUUAGAAUACAAAAAAUUCCAAACUGUGCUUGUUUCUAUACAAGUUAACUGAAAGUUAGAAAAAUUUUAUCAUGUGUUUACAUUUGAUAAGAUAUUUAAUGCAGUUGGAUUUGCACGCUCUUCUCCAAUUUGAAUACAGGUACUUUAGUAAAUUUAGAUCUGAAAUUUUUUUUAACAUAGAAAUCAAUAUUUUUGUAGUCAUUUAACAUCUGCAUUUCACUUGGUGUUAAGUAUAAUAAAAGGCAUUUUAAUUGUUUGAUGAAACACAAUAUGGUGAACACCCAUUUCUCACACUAACUACAUCCUCAGUUUGUAUGACACUAGGAGUUGAAGCUUCUUCACUAUAGAUCCAUUUCCACUGUUCUUGACAUUUUUCUCAAAAGCAGGAAAAGAACAAUAAAACUCAGAUCUUUUCAUUUACAAGUAGAGGGAGACUGAAUCCUAUGGCACAGUUGUACAAUUUAUGGUAGAGGGGGAGAGCCAGUACAGAGUUAACAGUGUUGUGGAUUAAGUUCAGACAUGGUCAGUGCCUGGUGGGUUUAUUGGAAAAUAAUUACUUGGAACUAAUUUGGCAUCCAAUCAAGCUGUCUAAGUAUUUCCUGAAAUUUUAUGGUACUUAAGCAGUAGAAAUCUUUUCAGUGACAUCAGAGACAUCUAAGAAGUCUUUGAUUUAGCUAUUAAGAUCAUGUUGUAAAUUUGUUGAAAUUUUUCAUAAAGGAAAAUUCACAGUUGAUUACAAAUGGCAAUGCACCUGAUCUGCAAAUGUAAUCUUUGAAAUUGAAUUUGAUACUAGGAAUUUGUAACUUUGUCAGUGUACAAAUCUCUUUGCCAGAAUUUGCAUAUUUAUCACAUGUUAAUAUUUUCACCUUGAGCUAAUAUGGGUAAUAUAUGAUCAAAGUGAUCAAUGAUGAUGAAUUUUCUGUGGUAAGGUUUAUAACAGAUUAACCUUGGUAUUGUAUGGUAUAUAAAUCAGACAAAACUUGCUAAUUUGAUACAUUGUUCUCAAUUAGUGAUUGAUUUCUAAUUAUCUGAAACCACAUCUACAGACUGAAUUUCAGGAAAAUGCAGAUUUUAACAAUAUUAUUUCAUAUUGCACUGUAAUAUAAUCAUUUGCAUGUAUUCAUCCGUGAAAAAAAUCACCUCCUUUGCAUUUGAUUUGAUUUUAUACUGCUUGAUUUCACAAUCUAGCAGGACUUAUUGAAAACUGUUUUACCCAAUAUUUGACAGAGAAAUUAAGCUGGGGGGCUGUUAGUCAUAAGGUUAGUUGACCAUAAUCCAGGAGUAGUGGCCCCAAGGUAAAACACGUACAUCUGUCAGGAUCUUGCAUGAUUAAUCAUCAGCUCAUCACUGUUAACAGAAUGCCCUCGUCUUUGACAGCUUGUAGGACAUCUUCAUUAUCAUUAGCUGGAUAAUGAGGCACUUUUGAACACAAAACACAGCUGUAGAUUCCUAUGAUAUAUGAAAUUUUCAUUUCGUAUUAAACUUGUGUAGAAUCUGUAUACUCUAGAUGAUAAACAGGUAAAUAUAUAAAGUAAAGAAAAAACACCACUCCACCCACUGAAGGGUUUUUAGGAAAUACUAUUCAUAAGUUAUAAUCUGUCCUCUUGCACUUUACCUUUAGAAUGUCUCCUGAGAUCUGGAGGGCUUCCCCUUAUGUCUAAAUUUACAUGUAGCUGUAGAAGCUCAAGUUUUUUAACCCUACAACUGUUCAAGCAGUUUCUCAAAGUUUGGAAAAAUCUUAAGAAUUGCUAAUGAUAAUUUUGUCGAGGCAUGAGAAAUUUCUCUAAUUUUCUGAGGAAAUAUGAAUUGUUGGUGUUUGUUUUUGUCAUAAAACUAAGGAAUAUGUUUAGACAGAACUAUUUAUUUAUCUUCAAAGUAACACAUAAUAUUAGAAUCAAAAGAAAACACAAGUGUGCUGAUGUUUCAUUUAAGAUAUGUUGGUUAGGCACUGGAAAAUUAUUAAUAACAAGUAUCUCUGUAAUUAUUUUGUCGAAGGUGUACAAACUUCCUAACUUGAGGUAUAAAAACACUUCAGGAUGAUAGCAUCAUAGUAAUAGAGACUCAUGUUUAUAAACAGUUACUCAAAUAUCUCUGUACUUGAAGCUUAUGUUUGACAGUUAAUUGGUAGAAACUGAAAAGAAACUCUGGUGUUUGUCUGUCCCAUUUUCACUAGCAGCACUCUAUAUUUCUAGAUUACAUUUUUGGCCUUGCAGUAAAUCGUUUUGAAUUUUUGCUUUAUUUCUUAAAGACAGGGAAGUUAUAAAAGAGAAGAAUAUAUAUAUAUAUAUAUAUAUAUAUAUAUAUAUAUAUAUAUAUUAUUUAUUUUAAUAAGAACUUAUCUCCAUACAAUAACAACAGAAUUAUAUCCUACUGCAAAAAAAAAAUGUGCACCUCAAAAAGCAAGACAUUUCUAUUAUGAAUUAUUGAUGCAUUGAAAGUUCUAAAAAUGCUUUUUCAAUAAUGGGUAUAAUAUAUGUUCAAUGAAUCAAGUGUUUGUAAAAAAUGGCCCAAUUUUCUGGCUGCUUAACCAUACUAGUUGAGCUAAUACCAAUAAUCGAAUGAUUGGCAUAAUCUGGUUGAAGAGGGAGAGGUUUGGUAAAACAGAUUUUCCCAUAUGGACCAUUGACUUGUUGUAGCAUUGUAUCCCGAUUAAGGGGCUUUUUUUUGAGUGGAGAUUGGACUAGCAGUCUCAAUAAGCCUUGCCACCUAGGGGUUCUGCCUAAUUGGGUUCAGCAAGUUGAAUGUAUUUCAUAAUGUUGUGUGACAGGUCCAAAAGAUUUUUUUUAUGAACAUCACAUUAAUUUUUGUGGGGAUGUUUUUAGUUUUUGAAGUGUGAAGCAGACUUCUGUAAAACUACUAUGCUAUUGACAUUUUUUAUUGUUCACUACGGGCGGUAAUAACCGAAUGGUCAACCAGUCAGGGAGCACGCACUGGGGCCCACUACAUGGGGGCCGCCCCCUCACCCACCCAAAUCACGCACUCUAUUGAUCCUAAACCUGUUCACAUAAACUUGAGAUAAACGUUACAGUAAGACCCCACAAGUCAGUAGAAAAAAUCAAUUUACCUCUCUAGACUGAAAGCAAAGUGAUGCAAGUUCGUAGAAAAUGGUUUUAAAAAUUUGCAACAUGUUUCACAUAUCUUGCAUAAUAUUGUAAAUUAAUAUAGCAUUAAUAUCUCCAUUCUGGCAUUAAUUUUAUCUUUUUAUUGCAGUGAAAAUAUUGACUGCUUAAGAUUCUCAUUUAGUUUCAUUAUUUAAACUGACUCCUGAAUAUGAGCAAGAAGCAAAAGGCAAGACACCAAUGUAAAGGCCUCUGUAUGUGUAAUUCGGUACAAUUUCUUCUAUUUAAGCUUGACUUUGAUUAAUUUGUUAAUGUGCAAAGAAUGGGGAGUAAAGUUUCAGUCGUGAAACACUGUGUCUAAUAAUCGAGUCAACUCUUGAUGUAUAGCAUUUCAUUUUUCAUUUUUGAUAAAGAAUGGAAGUAGGGAGGUCAAAUUAACAUAAUACAUGUCGUAUAGCACUGCAUGAUUGACUGUCUCGCUGUUCACCCAGUAAAGAGAAUUCUAAGUUGUAUCAGAUGGUACCAUUUGCGAACCAUUUGUUGCUGUAUAAGGGUCUAGUAACCCUAGGCUAUCGUAAGGCAUACCGCGUGGACAGAAUCAAAUAACAGGCUUUCUACUAACAUGUUGGAGCAAAGAUUUUUAAACUGCGGACUUUAUAACAGUUCUUUGGAAGAAGUUCUUGGCGUACACUUUAUUUGGGAGGGGGGACACUGAUCAUGUGACGUUGCUUCGUUUUUAAUGAAUUUUCACUGUCCAACUGUCAUGUUAUAUUAAGUCUUUGUUCAGAGUGUAUCGACAUCAAAGGCUACACCUUUCACGUGAUUCGUGAUCUAUUAUAAGAUUCAUAUAUAAUAGGUAAACGGAAGGUAAUAUUCAUUUAUUGUGCGUCUGCUUUCAAAAUUUAUCUCAAUUGAAUUUACAAAGCAGAGAAAAGAAAUUCACUGCGCAUCUUCGGUUUCAGUUUUUGAACCCGUAGAAAGUUAUUUUUUUCCACAAUCCAGUUGCUUACCUAGUAGAUGUAUAGGGAAGAUAAGAAGAAUAGAAAGUAUUAAAAGUACCCGUCUCUUAUGUUACAUCAGAUUAGUGGAUGAUACCAUUGUAAGGGGUAUAUAAUGACAGAGGAAGAUAGAAGUUGAGGAAUCUAAUUGGAUAAGUGUUGUAUCAUGUAACAGGAAUGUCUUAUAGCUCUCUCGGGUAUCUAGUGAUCUGUGAUUAACACGUUGGGAUCUAGAUGACGGGGGUUUGGUAGCAGAUUAGCAGCACUUAGUCCGUAUAUUGCCGUCAGAAUGGGCAGGUAUCAAGUGGAAGAGCCUAAUACCCAGCAAUAGAGAUGCCUUACUGGGAUGUUUUAUUAACGACUGAGGAACACGCCGACCAUCCGCCAGUCCUAGCCGGAAUAAUAAAAUCGUAGUUUGACGUCCACUGAAUUUUCUUGCUGUAACCUUGAUUUCUAGGUUUCUAUGUCGACUCUUGGGUUGGGUUAAUAAUUAACCAGCAAAUAGAAUACUAAAUUCAUAAAAUGCAUUUAGGAAAUAUUUCAGGUUUUAAUUUUUGUUCAUGCAUCCUCAUUAAUAUGUAGAUUAGCUGUCCCCGAUUGACAGAGUGUGAUUGGUAUAAAGACAGCUUUUGUUUUAUAUGGGUUAAAAUCUUGACUGCAUCUCUGUAGCAUUUUGUAACAAUUCAUCAUAUUGAUGACUUCUAGCAUUUUAUUACUUUCUUUAAUGACUUUUUAACACCAGUUUUUCAAUCAUCAAACACCUGACACAAAACAUUUAAAACAGAAUUUUUGUGGUAAUUUUGUGACAAAGUCCAGUUAAACAAACAAACGAACAGUCAAUUUACUCCAGUACAUAGCGCAACAACAACGGGGGAAAAAUUGAUACAUUCAAAUUUCAAAGGCAAGAGUAAAUUACUUUUGAAAAUUAAUGAAAUAUGUAAUAAUAUCCGAUCUUCGCUUGCUAACUGAAAUCUAACCGAAAGAUCUCAAGAGAAUCACUUUCAUGUAAACAUACAAAACUUGUAAAGACUACGAAAUAGAAAAUUGGGUACAAUAGAUCAGGGGAGAUUAAACUUUGGGAGACAACAAAAGACAUCAAUUAAACGGAGAUGGUAUUGUUGAAAAACGAUGACCAGAAAAUAAUACCAGGUACUCAUCUUACUCUUGAUGGAACCCUCUCUGCAGUUCUCAACGGGUAAUGAUAGGCUUCCGUGGCCACGGUUUUUAAUUUUAAUGGGAUCAUCAAACCCAGACCCAUCCAUUUGCCAAGCCAGCGAGAGCGCUUUCCAGAUAAACGGGAUCAGAAAAUAUCAUAUGGGGGUACUUGAAUGAGUUAUCACUCGUAAGAAAAGGUUAAAUAAGAAAAAGAACAUUAAAUGUUUAGGGGAUUUGAGAGGUAGCUCCCAGGUGUUCAGUGACCACACAUGUGAUAAUGACGUCAGGACCUCCUUACAUAUACCUGUCGCGGUGUGCAUAGCGCGUACAUCACCGUAGACGGUCGUUAUUAUUUGCAAAAAUUGCACCGCGUGUCCCCAGCAUUGUGAAAGUAGAAAAUGAAAUUUCUGGCCCGUAGUUGGAGAUUGGAAAAUAUGGUACCGAGCAAGAUGUAUUUUGUGUUAUAUUUAUUUUUAUUUUAUUUUUUAGUCUUGUCUAUGACGUUUAGAAAAUACAAGGAUAAUACAUGAAGGCUAUUUUCCCUAUAGUCAAUGACAUGUAAACUUCAAGAAAAGUUCUUCCACUCCCCCCAUCUACAGAACAUGUCCAAAAAAAACCCUUUAGGAGGUUUUUUGGGGGGGAUAGACGUCGGUAGACGUUGACUUCUAUCUAGGUUUGUAUCAAGUUGACCUGCCCUUGAUAAAGUGUAAUGUUUUACAUACAAAAUAUUUAAUCUUGAAAACCCACAAGUGAAGACAGGAGAACAGACAUUGUCAGGCCCUAUUAGUGGAGAAGAUUUAUCAUGAUUUGGCUGCUGGCUCCUGGGAGACACGGGAUGAGGAAUGCCAUUCCGCUGCAUCAGUCCCUCAGACGUGACACGAUAGCAUGCUCAAAGUCCUCGAUACUCCAGACAAAAUCUGCUAGAUCUCUUGACUUUUAAAGAUAAUUUUGUGUCAUGAUGCAUUUGUUAUCCUAGGAGAAGUAUACGUGCGGUGCAUUUUUUGUGGGAUUUUAAACGUCUUUAUGGCUUCUAAAAAAAUAAAAUAAAAUAAUGAAAUUUGAAAUGUUUAAAAUCCAUUCUAGCGCUAGAUCUAGUCGGUGGAGAUUUUUUUCUCUGGGACAUAUAUGUGAUUAGUAUAUAGAUUUCGGACUAGUUUGUUUGUACCAGACAGAUGUUUUAUUUUGCUUAUCAAACGCUAGCUUGGAGAAAUGUUUUGUAACAUUUUCCCACAAUUUAUGUCAUGAAAAAUCCGAUUUGAUCAAAUUUCAACGCAGUUUCCCAACUUCUUUUAUGAUAGUAUUUCAACAUUCCGAUGAACUGCAAAUUUAUUUAAUAUCAAGCUAGAUAUCAAUAUUGGGGUUUUCCAAGAUAAGUUUAAGACUUACGUCUGACCAUGAAUCGUUAUCUGCACAUGUCUAUUCGGUUAGAUCUUUGGUACUGUGUAAAUAUUUGUCAAGUGUCAUUGACUGUAUUGAUAUAUUUAUCUGUUAAAUAGAUCCAAGUUUUUAUUUGUUGAAUUAGCUUAUUGAUUUUGUUGAAAUUUUAUCGUUUUUCCUUCAGCAUUCAAAUCCAAAAAUUAUUCCAACCGAUAUGUUAAGGGUUUGUUAACAAGAAAUUUGUCUUCGAUUGCAAAAACAGAAUACUUAAAUAUCUUUACUUAGUUCUUCCAAUUAUAUGUGCUGUAAUAACUGUAUGUGGUUUCUUUACAGUAUGAAAGAGAUAAAUCAGGAACAUCCUUUAACACAAAACUGGUUUUCAUAAUGGUUUGAGAUUGUGUUAGAUUCUGAGAUCAUUGUGAAAACUGAUUUUGUAACCACAAUCAUCUAUAACAGUGUCAUCUUGCCACUACCAACGUCAAACGUGGUCCACUUCAACAAUUUAUGCUGAUGUCGACUUCAGUGGAGAAGUGACUGACCUCUCCACGGACUGCUACCCAGGUCACUUUUUUGUGAAUAAAUUUAUAAGCAUAAUUGAAAUGUUUUGUCAUAAUUUUUGUGUAUGUGACAUGUCAGCAGUCAAAAUGAAAUGCGUGCGGGAUGUUUGAAAAGACAUGAUUAAUUUAAAAUCGGUAAAUAUGCCGAAUUGUUUUCACGAAAUUCCACAAAGCGUAUAGAAGCAACGCUUACUGUUACGGACGAUACUCGGUUCCCUGCAUCUACAAUUGAUCAGUCCUUGGGAUGUUUGAUCAAAACCACAACAUGUGAACCACAUUUGCGGGAGUCCCUGUCCAAAGGGUGUUUGAAAACAAGCUGCAAAUCAUGUGCACGAUGAAAUCGAGUGUAACCCAUUAAUUAAAAAAAAUCUUCAUUUUAAAUACAUGUAACAUGUAUGGGGAUGACUUUCGUACUAGUAUAUAAUUAUUCAUAAAGUAUGUUAUACCAGAGCUUGUUAGGAAGGGUUGCACAAAUGAUUCCCGUAUAUCAGUAGCUGAUCCAGUCCAUUUCAAAGAUUUGUCCAUGCAUUUUCGCAAGUCUCCGCCAAAGUCAGGCGGACAGGAAUGUUCUUGACCUAUUCUUAUUACCUCGAAGCAUUGAAUCAGUAUUGUAUAUCAAAUUGUUUGUCGUGUCAAAGAAUAUGAAUACACCAACUAAAUGGUUCAGAUCUGGAGGUUAUAAAACUUUUACCAUACUCAAACUCGGCCAUGUUUUUGGGUUUUUUUUUUUAGUACCGCUCUGAACAAGCUUCGAAAAAAGUUGAGCAUGUACUCCAUUUGAGUGCGAGAAUGAUUUCAUAAAAGUUUUAUAAUAUCACUUUUGAGUAUGAAUUCGAAUUGGAUCACAGAGUUUGAGUUUGAAAACGUGCUCGAAAAAAUGUUUUAUAACCGCCAGGCCAGGUCUUGGUGCAUUAUGGAGAAUACCGAAGUUCCGAAAAAAUGAAAGUUUUCCUAGAUGAAAGAUGAAGAUAACGAACAGUGAUCAAUCUCGUAACUCCUGUAAGGAAUGCAUAAUUAAGAAGGUAUAUUACAUCGUCAAUAAUGACCGACUUCCUUUUAAAACAUGGAUAAAAAUAUAAAUACCAGCAAUAUUUGUCUAUUCCUGUUGUAUUUAAAUGCCUAGCUUGGUAGUUGAUCCGUAGAUUUCGGGUUCGAGUCCAGCAGGUUUUUUUUUUUAUUCAUUUUACUUUCUACCAAAACUCCAUUUUUGGACUAAAUGAAUUAAGUGAGUUUGAAAGUUUUCAAUUUCAAACUGUUGUUCAGAUCAUCCAUUUUUCAUCCACAUCAAUUUUCUCUGGUGUUGCGUUCCUCCUUAAAGCAAUACAAUCUAUAACUGACGGUAAAUAAAUUGAGAAAUAGAACAAAUAUUUAGUAUAUUUGUGAUCGAAUAUAUAUAACUUCGUUGAAUAAGGGUGAAUCUGAAAUAAUAAACCCGUCAAAUCAGCAGAAAAUGUCGAUUCACGAAUCAUUGUCAUUCUGUCAGUGUCAGUAAUUCCUGUUCGUAUGAAACGCUCACUGUAGGUGUGCUUUCAAACAAUAUAUUCCCUUGUCUAUUUUGCUGAAUUUUUCUUCAGAUCAGUCAGUUUUUAAAUCGAGGCAGGUUACUGACAAACAAGUUGAUGGUGCAAGGCUUUCAACAGUCUCGUUCAAAGUCCGCAUUUCGCAAAUUGUAUGGUAGUUAUAACGAUCUAGUUUGCCAAUUCAACCUAUCGUUGGGUCAAAUGCUGUCUGACUUGUUUCAUACCGAUUGUUAGGCCGUUCUUGGCACACUGAUUUUGACUACGGAUAACUCCGUUUAGCUGAUCAAGAUAUAGGGCUCAUGGCGGGUGUGACCGGUCGACAGAGGAUGCUUGCUCCUAGACACCUGAUCCCACCUCUGGUAUAGGAAGGGGUCCGUGUUUGUCCAACUCUCUAUUUUGUACUGCUUAUAGGAGUUAUGAGAUUGAUCACUGUUAUCUUCACCUUUCAUUUUGGGGAUCAUAAUAGUUACACCGAAAGGUGUUAAUUGAUGCAUAAUUGGAUAGUUGAAACAAUACCAUCGGUUACAGCUUGUAUUGCUUUAAAGGGGCAUGGACACAAUUUGAGCUGAACAUUUUCAAAUUGUUUGAUGUGAAGAAUGCUUAUGUAAGGUAUUUCUGAUGGUCAACCAUUUGAAUGUCAGUUGUCGAGGUGUAUGGGAGAUAUACAGAGCUCCCAAUCAUUUCUUCUGUAGACGUGGCUCGUUUCGUGUUUUUGUUUACAUAGGUGAAAUAUACUUGUAAAGGUUUCGUUAAAAUCAAACGUUUCCAAUUUCGAAGUUAAUUCUGAACACAAUAAAAUAGUUUCUCGUGUUUGGCAAAUCUCAUUUGUUUUAAACAUGCUUUUUUCUAUAAAGCAGUUUACAUGUAAAGAAAAACAUGGCACGAGACUACGAAUUGGGAAUGCCGUAACUCAAAUUUUGAUUGACCAUUAGAAAUACUUUAGUCAAGCAUUGUAAACAAUGAAAAUGGGAAAAAUAAAAUUUGAAAAUGUUCAUCUCAAAUCGUGUCCAUGCCCCUUAAGAGUUGGGCAAACACAGACUCUUGAAUAUGCCAGAGGUGGGAUCAUGUGCAUAGGGGUAGAUCCUUCGAAAGAGAAAUGAUGCAUGAAACCUUUUACAUGCAUCAAUAGUGGACACAGCAAGCAUGAAGCUGCAAUUGGUUUUAUUGAAGUAAAUUGAAAGCAAAGCAUAUUCCUACUUUCAUUUUAGUAAACAUUUGUUUUCCCUUUAUGUAGAUCUCCAUCGAUGUUUCUGAAAUAUUUUAACCAUCAUUACUUGUGCUCUUAAAGCAUUUAAAAAUGUUAUAUUUGUUGGAAGUUUGAGCAUUGUUUUGUUAUUUGAAAAAUGAAGCUGUAAAGUGUGGCCGAUAGACAAAUGUUCUCUCUGUUCGUGAAAUGACAACAUGUUGCAGAGGGUUGGAAAUUGGGCCAGAACAUGUCAAAGAAACUGAGAUAGUUUUAUUUUUGCGGUAAUACAUUAUGCAAUGACCUGGCUAUCGUAUUUUUGUCUAGUCUAUUGCGAGCGUUCUAGAUAUCAAAUGUCAUUCCAAAGGCAAGAAGAGGACAUCGCAAUGGCAAGUCUCGGUGUGUUUUAUGUAGAUGCAUGCAGUCAAGGUUAAGUCACAGGGUACACAUGUCCAUCGAACUUAUCUAUUGCUAGAUUUUUAAAAUUUAUUUUCACUGAAGCGUUUGAAGUAAAUUCCUUAGUGACUGUAUUUUCGUAUUGCCUCUAGACAUAGGGAAGUAAACUACCCUUUUUUUUUUUGCGUCGGAGUUAAAAUAGUCUCUUUCAACCAGACACUCGACUGGUUUUCUAUUUCCAACAAGCGAAAAAUUAGUAGAUUCGCACAAUUGUGAUGUCAUAACGAGCCUUACCAAAAUUCUUAUGUGCAAUCUGAUUAAGAACACGCCUCCAAAACAACUAAAGAUUCCCUAACUACUAAAUUGAGUUAACCCUUCAAACUAAAAGAUUUGCAAGUAAAACUACAAGUAUAGUAAGCAGGAAAUAUGGUUUGUAGUACUACUGACAAAUAUGGAAUGGCUGUACACCAUUUUCCAAAAUUAUGGGUAGCCAAAGUAAAAUAGGCUUCAUAGCUGGCCCCAUCAUUAUAUGGUCAUGUUUUCUUUAGCAUGGUUAAUGAAAGGCCAGAUUAUGAAUAUAAGAUAUUUAGGCAUUGCUGAUUUGAAUACAUGUUUAAAAAGUGAUCACAACUGAUAUCUAGAGUCUUGACCGGACUCGCGCUCGUUGAAGUUUUUGGAAUCAGGCCCGGGUUUGUUGAACGAGAUCAGAGCCAGCGCUGCGUGGCCGCCCCAUCCCACACACCCUUUUUCGUAAAGAAUAAUGUGUUGUAAUCGAUAUUAGAUAUUAUCACAAAUAUGAUCCAUAGUUUUCGUAGAAAUAUGUCCACUAAAAUACUUGCUUCGUUAUUGGGUAUUUUAUUGAAUAUAGAUGUUAAUGGUAAACUAACAACUCAACUUUAUGACAAACGGGAUGAUUUCAGCUUCUCCAUCGUUAACCUCCUAUAUUUAUGUAGCAAUAUUCCAUUGUCACCUGUAUGUGGUGUUCAUGUCUUUUAACUGGUUCGUUAUGCAAGAGCUUGUUCUGCAUAUGAUCAAUAUUUAAAUCGAGACAGCCUGCUGAUAAACAAGUUGGGUUGACAGGGGUUUCAACAAAUGAUCAUUAUAACGAUAUACUUUGCCAAUACAAACCAUCAUUGGGUGAAAUGAUGUCCGACGUGUUUCAUACCAAUUGUUAGGCCGUUCUUUACACACUGAUUUUGUCUGCGUAUUACUCCGUUUACUCGAUCGAAAUAUAGGGCGGGUGUGACCAGUCGACAGGGGAUGCUUAUUCCUCCUCGACACCUGAUCCCACCCGUGUUUGCCCAUCUCUAAUUUUGUAUUCCCUAUAGGAGUUAAUAGAAUUGUCACUGUUCACUACCUUCACCUUUCCAUCCCACCUCUAGUAUAUCUAAGGGUCCGUGUUUGCCCAACUCUAAUUUUGUAUUUCUUAUAGGAGUUAUGAGAUUGAUCGCUGUUCAUUACCUUCACCUUUGCACACGUCUUGUUUUUGUCAUGUAGUUGCUUCAGGGUGUUUCGCUCCCAGCCCCCCUCCCCUACCCCAUAGUUUUGCCCUGGAGGAUUCAAAACAGCCCCUCAUUAAAAAAUUCCUGGAUUCGUCACUGGAGAUUAUUGAAUAACCAAGUGGUCAAAGAUAUUGGAGGAGGUAGAAGGUUUGGAACUGGUUCCAUGACAAAGAAAUAUAUUUUCAGUUCUAAAAUGACUGAAAUAUUGCCAAAAUGGCGUAAAACCGUAAUCAAUCAACCAACCAAUAUAUUACAUUACUAAAGGUAAUUUUUUACUUGUAUUUCUUUUCGCGUUGAUACAAUGAUGUAUUUAUUCACGAGACAUAACUUUUGCGAAUCGUUGUUAAUUGUUUUUAAAGUCUUCUAUAUCUAAGAGUUUAUUAGCGAUAAUUAAAAUUUCGCGAAUGUUUAGUCUCGCGUAAUUACGCCUAAAAUAAAGUUCUCACGAAUACAAUGCUAUUUACAGUUGGCCUAUAUCUAGUACCGAUCGAGGUCCCGUGUCGCAGCAGGUGUAGCACGAUAAAGAUCCCUCCCUGUUCAAUGGCCAUAAGCGCCGAACAUAGGCCUAAAUUUUGCAACCCUUCACCGGCAGUGGUGACGUCUCCAUAUGAGUGAAAUAUUCUCUAGAGGGACGUAAAACAAUAUUCAAUCAAUCAAUCGAAUAUCGCAACGUUUGACAUACAAUAAUUUUCUCACCUUAACGAAUAGUAACCUUUUACAGAUUAACAGGAUACACUUCAAACGAUUCAGUACCACGAGAAUGCGUGUAUAUGUAUGUAGGUUAUAUGCUCGAAUUUAAAGGUUUCUUAUGUAUAUGGUGUGACAAAAUACUCGGAUAUAUCACUUGUGGAACGUGAACUAGUCCUUAAUGCGUAUAUAAAUGAACCACUUGUAAACGUUGCUGAAAUCAUUCAAAUGAAUAAAGAAAAUCUUAGUGUGUUGUUUAUAUAUGAAUGAUCAUUGAUGCUUCAACUUCAUUACUGAAUGUCAAGGUUUUUGAAAAUACAGAAAUUACUAAUAUGUCAGGGAUUUUUUUUUUUUUAUUUUUUUUUUUUGGACCAAAAAAUAUAAUAUAUAUAUGGAUUUCCCCUUUGAAUUUUGCAAAACGAGAGCUGAAAAUUUCCGGAAAUCGAAAACGAUAAUGCAUAAAAACAAAUAUUAAACAACGCGUGUGUCGGCGUAAUUUAGUUCAAUAAUUAUACUAAUCAAAUACCCUGUGAUAUGUGGUGCAGCGGGACGACCCUCCGACAACGGUCAGUAUAUUUAUCAACCUACUGCGAAAUGAUUUAGAUAUAUAUAUGUAUGUAUGUAUUUUGUAUUUUGGUUCCCAAGAAAUAAAAAUUAAGAAGAUAUGAC